AGGAGCCGGGUUGGGGGAGACCCCAGGUUCGGUUGGGAUUCCCAGCCAGAACGGAGCUUAAGCCGGGCAGGCGAGCGAAUGACCGAGUAGCGAGCUGCACGGCGGCGUGCUGCGCUGUUGAGGACGCUGUCCCGCGCGCUCCCAGGCCGUCCCGGGGCUUGGGGUCUUCGAAAGAUAAUCGGCGCCCGGGGCCGAACAGCGGGGGCACACGGGGCGCUGCCGAAGUGCAAGGCCACGGCCAGAGCUCGAGCCCGACGCGCUGUCUGGAGUCGUAGGUUGGCGUCGUUUGGGGUCGGGGUCUGAGGCUUGGGCGCUGCCUGGGCCGAGCGGAGAUCGGGGUUUGCCUCCCGUCCCCGCUCAGGAUCCUGACGUGGCUGAAGCGGCCCCGGGAGCAUGAGCGGGCAGCGCGUGGACGUCAAGGUGGUGAUGCUGGGCAAGGAGUACGUGGGCAAGACUAGCCUGGUGGAGCGCUACGUGCACGACCGCUUUCUGGUGGGGCCUUAUCAGAACGUGAGUGCACCUGGAGGGGCCAGGCACGGUGGGCGGGGAAGUGGGGGGGCGGUAAUCUGCACCUAUGGCCCCGAUCUCUUCCCUCUCGUUGCAGACCAUCGGGGCCGCCUUCGUGGCCAAGGUGAUGUCGGUCGGAGACCGGACUGUGACAUUAGGUAUUUGGGACACAGCAGGCUCUGAGCGCUAUGAGGCCAUGAGUAGAAUCUACUAUCGGGGUGCCAAGGCUGCCAUCGUCUGCUAUGACCUCACAGACAGCAGCAGCUUUGAGCGAGCAAAGUUCUGGGUGAAGGAACUGCGCAGCCUAGAAGAGGUAGGUGAACAGACCUCACUAGAACACUGGGGGCUGGGGUUCUGUUGGUCUGUGGAGGUGACCCUUGUCUUCUGCCUCAGGGCUGCCAAAUCUACUUAUGUGGCACCAAGAGUGACCUGCUGGAAGAAGACCGGAGGCGUCGACGUGUGGACUUCCACGACGUCCAGGACUAUGCAGACAGUAGCUGCUCCUCAGCCCUUUGGGGGGUGGGGGUGUGUGGCUGUCUGGGUGGAUCAAAGAAAAUAGGGACUGCCUUGGCUGCCAGGGCAGGGUGCUCUAGGAGGUCUUCCUGGCCUCCUUGAACCGUGGGGUCUACGAGACUCCCUGAACUGCUAGCCCUCCCUUUUGUCUGUUUAUCUAAUUCUCAGGUAUGAGGCUUUAGUCACUUCUCUUUACAGAUAUCAAAGCUCAGCUCUUUGAAACAUCCAGCAAGACAGGCCAGAGUGUGGACGAGCUCUUCCAGAAAGUGGCAGAGGAUUACGUCAGUGUGGCUGCCUUCCAGGUGAUGACAGAGGAGGACAAGGGCGUGGAUCUGGGCCAGAAGCCAAACCCCUACUUCUACAGCUGUUGUCAUCACUGAGUCAGCACUCACCUGGCCUGGGGGAAUUAAAGGAAUUCCCCAUAAGGGCUGGACCCAGCUCCUUUCUGGGCUUGGGUAGUCAAAUGUCUGAGCUACCCCAGGUCCUCAUGUCAGCAGAGUGGCACCUGCCUGUGCUGGCCCAUGGAACGGAGACAGCACUGGGCUGACUGUGGGCAUGAGGAGGGAUAAGGGCUGAUUUGGACCCCAGGCUUCUGCCCUGGACAGCACUUGUGUCUGCAGAUUAUUUAAGUGGCUUUUGAUCUGUAAAUAAAAUCAAUGCACUGUGAAUCAC
rnacentral:sRNA from 1 species